rnacentral:lncRNA from 1 species
CAGGAUUUGUAGGUCUGUAGAUGAUCUGAGUCAGAAUCAACAGCAUCAGAAGCUCGUGCUGCCCGGUGGCAGAUGGGUGGGUGGGGCCGAGACUGUGCUGCAGAACAGGUUGCAGCUGCUCCCUCAACUUUUACUGCCCUGGCUCUGCGUGGGUUGCGGGGGCCCAGCUCCUGUCCCCGGGGCACCUUAAAGGAACUUCAGGACCUCUGACUCCAAGUUCAAAGAUGGGAAAGCACAAGAUUUUCUGUGAGCGGAUUUGAUGCCUUCCAGCAAAACGAAAACAUGUUGAACAGUACCCCCAAUUCCCCUGGCUGGAUUUAUGUUCAAGACAAAGCUAUUUGCAAUAUUUCAGGUCAGUAUCACCUGGAGGCAAGAUUUCUUGACGCAACUAAGUGCUGGAGUCCCGGAAGUCCAAGGACAAAGCCCGCAU